rnacentral:lncRNA from 1 species
CGGGGCACCCCGAAACCCCAAAAUCAUCCCCGGGGCAACCCGAAAUCCCAAAAUCAUCCCCGGGGCACCCCAAAACCCCAAAUCCGCCUGGGGAACCCCAAAACCCCAAAAUCAUCCCCGGGGCACCUCGAAAACCCCGAAAUCAUCCCCGGGGAACCCCAAAAUCCUCCCGGGGAACCCCGAAACCCCAAAAUCAUCCCAGGGGUGCCCUGAAACCCCGAAAUCCGCCCGGGGCACCCCAAAAACCCCAAAAUCAUCCCCGGGGCACCCCAAAAUCCUCCCGGGGCACCCCGAAACCCCGAAAUCCGCCCGGGGCACCCCAAAACCCCAAAAUCAUCCCCGGGGCACCCCGAAACCCCAAAUCCGCCCGGGGCACCCCAAAACCCCAAAAUCAUCCCCGGGGCACCUCGAAACCCCAAAUCCGCCCGGGGCACCCCAAAAUCCUCCCGGGGCACUCCGAAACCCUGAAAUCCGCCUGGGGAACCCCAAAAACCCCGAAAUCAUCCCCGGGGAACCCCAAAAUCAUCCCAGGGGCACCCCGAAACCCCAAAAUCAUCCCAGGGGUGCCCUGAAACCCCGAAAUCAUCCCCGGGGCACCCCAAAAACCCCAAAAUCAUCCCCGGGGCAACCCAAAACCCCAAAUCCGCCUGGGGAACCCCAAAAACCCCAAAAUCAUCCCUGGGGAACCCCAAAAUCCGCCCGGGGAACCCCGAAACCCCGAAAUCCUCCGGGGGGCGCCACAAAAACCCCCAAAUCCGCCCGGGGCACCCCAAAACCCCAAAUCAGCCCCGGGGGCGCCCCGAAACCCCAAAAUCAUCCCCGAGGCACCCUGAAACCCCAAAUUCGCCCGGGGGCAUCCCAAAAACCCCAAAAUCAUCCCGGGGGCACCCCAAAACCCCCGGGGCACCCCAAAAAUCCCAAAAUCUGUGUAAGGUCGCCCUAAAAAAUUCGGGGGUACCCCAAAAAACCCCAAAAUCCCCCGUGGGGACCCCAAAAACACCUUGAGGGACCCCAAAAACACCCGGGGGGACCCCAAAAUCCUCCUGCGGUCAGCCCAGAACUCCCAGGAACCCCAAAUCCUUCCCCAGAUUUCCCCAGGUUUGAGGUUUUGGGGUUUUUGGGGUUCCCGAGCCCCCCUGGGGACGUUUUUGGGGGUUUUGGGGUCCCUGACCCUCUCUGGCCGAGUUUUUUGGGGCCGUUUCAGGGUUUUUGGGGUCGCUGACCCUCUCU